rnacentral:lncRNA from 1 species
UUGGUUAGAGCAAACUCUAGCCUCAUAGUCAAGUGCUGAAAAUAAAAUAAAAGUAAGAUAAAAGUAUGUAUAUAGGUGUCAAAUAGAUGUGUGUAUAUUAAAGAGUGUCUAUUUAUGAAGACCCUAUUAUAAGAUAAUUUUCUGAUUAGGUAUGGGUGUUAGGAGCGUUGUAUCUACCAUCUGCUUAAGAAGAGUUUGAAACUUAAAAGAUAAUGAAAAUUGUUUUUUUAUUUCAUUUUUAUGUUUUAGUUCAUUUGGUCAACAUUUUGUUUGGUGGCAAUGCUUAAGUUUUUCUAAACCUUUAAAAUAGUAUAAUAAGGUAUUAUUUCAAUAUCAAAAUUUUUUGUUGUUGUUAUUUUUCACUCCAUUCUUGUAAUUACUAGCAAAAGGAUAUCUUUCAAAUAUUUGUUUCUUUUUUGU